GUGCUGCCUCUGAGCUUCCGUUGUGCCUGGGAGUGGUACCAGGGGCAGGGGCAGGGGUACGGAGGGAUUGCUGUCAGGCUGCAGCACCAGAGCAUGUGUUUGCACAUAACUGGGGCCAACUGCUGACUGUUGCCGUUCGAGGCCCUUUUAACCGAGGACCACAGAA